UAAAAGUCAUAACAAGGUUACUGUAGGUGAACCUGCAGUAGGAUCAUUAUUGAAAAAUAGGGCUUUCCCAUUCUUUGGGGCCCGAACCUUCACAUAAUUUCCACACACUUGUGAAUCGUUGGAGCGUUUUUUGAAAAAGAGACGCUCUGGCACCCUUUAAUUAUUACAAACACCGAGUUAAUGGAUGUAGUUGUAAACUUGUCUUUUGACAGAAACAAAAAUACAACUUUCGACAACGGAUCUCUUGGUUCUCCCAUCGAUGAAGAACGCAGCGAAACGCGAUAGUUAAUGUGAAUUGCAGAAUUCAGUGAAUCAUCGAGUCUUUGAACGCAUCUUGCGCUCCUUGGUAUUCCGAGGAGCAUGCCUGUUUGAGUGUCAUGAAUCCCUCAGCCCCCAUCGUUUUUUGUUAAGCGAUUGGCUUGGGUCUGGAUUUGGGCGUCUUGCCAAUGCGCUUCUUCAAGUGCUUGGCUCGCCUUAAAGAGAUUAGCUGGACCCUAUUCCGAGCUGGUUCAACUCGACGUGAUAAUUUCAUUCGUCGAGGUAUGGUCGGCCUUACGGCUGAUCAGCCAGGUGUAGGAAUCCGGUCUGCUUCCAACCUUCGUCUGAAGCCAGCAAUGGUGUGAAGCGGAAUUUUUUAAUGCUCUGGCCUCAAAUCAGGUAGGAUUACCCGCUGAACUUAAG
rnacentral:rRNA from 1 species